GAUGAGAAGGAUUGAAAAAAUGUAGCUGAAAUUAAAUUAAGAACAGCAAAUUAGAGAUUUCAGAUCUAGCUUCUGUUAACCAGGCAUGGAGACCAUGUUGUCUUUGAUUCAUAUAUCUAGUUUUGUUAUCAAAUAUGAGGAGCAAUGGUCGUGCAGAAUAGCCACCGCCAUUAGGUUGGCAUGACACUGCGUCAUACCUUGUUUUACCUGUGCUUCUUGUUGACGGUCAAUAUGUUUCAGCGGAGUUGAUGAUGCCACCCCAGACAGAUGAUCCAGCCCAAAAGAACACACUUGAUUGGUUACUUUUCAUUAUCCGUUCUGUCAGGAUUACCGAUUUACUGGGUGAUGAGUCUCGAGGAGAAGCUUAUUCUUUAAGUGCAAGCAAACAAGUUCCUAAUAGUUCUCAGCCAAGACGAAGCAAGAGAUCUAAGCGGAAGCAUGCUGUAUAAGAAGAUUUUACACUGAAUUAUUUUAGAUUAUGGUGAGUCUUGUAUAUUUAAAGGAAUUUUAUUAUUUUUAAUAUAGUGGCAUUUCUUAUGCUGGCUCAUUCAAGAUAUAUUGCAAAAUCGUGAAAUGCUCCACAUCCUUGCUCCGAA